ensembl:snoRNA Snord90 small nucleolar RNA, C/D box 90
GUUACUGUUUUCUAAGUGUCUAAUGAUGAAUUUCAUAGGGCAGAUUCUGAGAUGAAAAUUGAAUUCAUCAUUGAAACUCCAAUUAUGAAAUCUGAAGACACUUGAAGACAU